rnacentral:rRNA from 1 species
UCAUAUGGAUUCCUACGGGAGGCAGCAGUAGGGAAUAUUGCUUAAUGGGCGCAAGCCUGAAGCAGCAACGCCGCGUGUGCGAUGAAGGCCCUCGGGUCGUAAAGCACUUUUUGCUGGGAAAAGGAAGGAUGGUACCAGCAGAAUAAGCCUCGGCUAACUACGUGCCAGCAGCCGCGGUAAAACGUAGGAGGCGAGCGUUAUCCGGAUUUACUGGGUGUAAAGCGCGUGCAGGCGGUUCGCUAAGUUGGAUGUGAAAGCUCCCGGCUCAACUGGGAGAGGUCGUUCAAGACUGGCAGACUGGAGAGCAGUAGAGGAAGGUGGAAUUCCGGGUGUAGUGGUGAAAUGCGUAGAUAUCCGGAGGAACACCAGUGGCGAAAGCGGCCUUCUGGACUGCAUCUGACGCUCAGACGCGAAAGCUAGGGUAGCAAACGGGAUUAGAGACCCCGGUAGUCCUAGCCGUAAACGAUGUGAACUUGGCGCUGGGUGGGUAAAACCAAUCAGUGCCGAAGCAAACGCGAUAAGUUCACCACCUGGGGACUACGGCCGCAAGGUUAAAACUCAAAGGAAUUGACGGGGGCCCGCACAAGCAGCGGAGCGUGUGGUUUAAUUCGAUGCUACACGAAGAACCUUACCAGGGCUUGACAUGUAAGUGGUAGUGAAGCGAAAGCGGAACGACCCUUCGGGGAGCUUACACAGGUGCUGCAUGGCUGUCGUCAGCUCGUGUCGUGAGAUGUUCGGUUAAGUCCGCUAACGAGCGCAACCCUCGCCGCGUGUUACGAGUGUCACGCGGGACUGCCAGUCUUAAGCUGGAGGAAGGUGGGGAUGACGUCAAGUCAGCAUGGCCUUUAUGUCCUGGGCUACACACACGCUACAAUGGCCAGUACAAUAGGUAGCGAAGUCGCGAGGCGAAGCCAAUCCUCAAAGCUGGUCUCAGUUCAGAUUGCAGGCUGCAACUCGCCUGCAUGAAGAUGGAGUUGCUAGUAACCGCAGGUCAGCUAUACUGCGGUGAAUACGUUCCCGGGCCUUGUACACACCGCCAU